UACGAAGGGGGCUAGCGUUGCUCGGAAUUACUGGGCGUAAAGGGCGCGUAGGCGGACAGUUUAGUCAGAGGUGAAAGCCCAGGGCUCAACCUUGGAAUUGCCUUUGAUACUGGCUGUCUUGAGUUCGGGAGAGGUGAGUGGAACUCCGAGUGUAGAGGUGAAAUUCGUAGAUAUUCGGAAGAACACCAGUGGCGAAGGCGACUCACUGGCCCGAUACUGACGCUGAGGCGCGAAAGCGUGGGGAGCAAACAGG
rnacentral:rRNA from 1 species